rnacentral:rRNA from 1 species
GGUUAAGCGACUAAGCGUACACGGUGGAUGCCCUGGCAGUCAGAGGCGAUGAAGGACGUGCUAAUCUGCGAUAAGCGUCGGUGAGGUGAUAUGAACCGUUAUAACCGGCGAUUUCCGAAUGGGGAAACCCAGUGUGUUUCGACACACUAUCAUUAACUGAAUCCAUAGGUUAAUGAGGCGAACCGGGGGAACUGAAACAUCUAAGUACCCCGAGGAAAAGAAAUCAACCGAGAUUCCCCCAGUAGCGGCGAGCGAACGGGGAGCAGCCCAGAGCCUGAAUCAGUGUGUGUGUUAGUGGAAGCGUCUGGAAAGGCGUGCGAUACAGGGUGACAGCCCCGUACACAAAAAUGCACAUACUGUGAGCUCGAUGAGUAGGGCGGGACACGUGGUAUCCUGUCUGAAUAUGGGGGGACCAUCCUCCAAGGCUAAAUACUCCUGACUGACCGAUAGUGAACCAGUACCGUGAG